rnacentral:tRNA from 1 species
CUUGUAGCUCAGCUGGAUAGAGCAACUGCCUUCUAAGCAGUGGGUCGGGGGUUCGAGUCCCUCCAGGC